AGUGCCAACAAAAAAUUUAUACACUUAAGUUGUCGUGAUAAUUGUUCUGGUAGAGCUAAGCUCUCAUUAAAGGACAUAAUAAUCACGAUAGAACACAGCGAAGUGUAAAUAUAACACCCAUCUUAGUCUUCCAUCAACACAAUCACAAGAUUCUGUGAUUUUGCCUGAUAUCUUAAUUUCAUCCAAUGGUAUUCCACAUUUGGAACCACAAGUUUCUCCCAUAGUGCCUGAUAUCUCAAUUUCAUCCAAUGGUAUUCCACAUUUGGAACCACAAGUUUCUCCCAUAGUGCCUGACACAAAUCUAGAUUCCCCUCUUGACAUAGCACAAGCCUUAUUAGACUUAAAUUCAAAUAUUUAUGGUAAAAAUAAUUAUAAUAAAUUGCAUUAAUAUUAUUUUUAAUUAA